rnacentral:rRNA from 1 species
UUAGGUAGUGCCUCAUGUAUCACUUCCGGGGGUAAAGCACUGUUAUGGCUAGGGGGUCAUUGCGAUUUACCAAACCAUGGCAAACUCUGAAUACCGGAAAGUGCGAGCAUGGGAGACAGACGGUGGGUGCUAACGUCCAUCGUCAAGAGGGAAACAACCCAGACCGCCAGCUAAGGUCCCAAAUGAUCAGUUAAGUGGUAAACGAAGUGGGAAGGCCUAGACAGCCAGGAUGUUGGCUUAGAAGCAGCCAUCAUUUAAAGAAAGCGUAAUAGCUCACUGGUCGAGUCGUCCUGCGCGGAAGAUGUAACGGGGCUCAAACUGAUAACCGAAGCUGCGGAUGGGCACGUAAGUGUCCGUGGUAGGGGAGCGUUCUGUAGGUCUGUGAAGGUGUCUCGUAAGGGAUGCUGGAGAUAUCAGAAGUGCGAAUGCUGACAUGAGUAGCGAUAAAGCGGGUGAAAAGCCCGCUCGCCGAAAGCCCAAGGUUUCCUACGCAACGUUCAUCGGCGUAGGGUGAGUCGGCCCCUAAGGCGAGGCUGAAAAGCGUAGUCGAUGGGAAACGGGUUAAAAUUCCCGUACUUUUGUGUAGUGCGAUGUGGGGACGGAGAAGGUUAGGUCAUCAGACUGUUGGAAUAGUCUGUUUAAGCCGGUAGGCGUGAGGGGUAGGCAAAUCCGCCCUUCUUUAACGCCGAGACGUGAUGACGAGGGUCUACGGACCUGAAGUGACUGAUACCACGCUUCCAGGAAAAGCCACUAAGCUUCAGCUACACAAGAACCGUACCGCAAACCGACACAGGUGGGCAGGAUGAGAAUUCUAAGGCGCUUGAGAGAACUCAGGAGAAGGAACUCGGCAAAUUGAUACCGUAACUUCGGGAGAAGGUAUGCCUCUUAGAGUGUAGGACUUCGCGUUCGAAGCUUUGAGAGGUCGCAGAGAAUCGGUGGCUGCGACUGGUUUAACAAAAACACAGCACUGUGCCAACACGAAAGUGGACGUAUACGGUGUGACGCCUGCCCGGUGCCGGAAGGUUAAGUGAUGGGGUGCAAGCUCUUGAUCGAAGCCCCGGUAAACGGCGGCCGUAACUAUAACGGUCCUAAGGUAGCGAAAUUCCUUGUCGGGUAAGUUCCGACCCGCACGAAUGGCGUAACGAUGGCCACACUGUCUCCUCCUGAGACUCAGCGAAGUUGAAGUGUUUGUGAAGAUGCAAUCUCCCCGCUGCUAGACGGAAAGACCCCGUGAACCUUUACUGUAGCUUUGCAUUGGACUUUGAACAGACUUGUGUAGGAUAGGUGGGAGGCUUUGAAGCCAGGACGCUAGUUCUGGUGGAGCCGUCCUUGAAAUACCACCCUGGUGUGUUUGAGGUUCUAACCUUGGUCCGUGAUCCGGAUUGGGGACAGUGCAUGGUAGGCAGUUUGACUGGGGCGGUCUCCUCCCAAAGUGUAACGGAGGAGUUCGAAGGUUACCUAGGUACGGUCGGAAAUCGUGCUGAUAGUGCAAUGGCAAAAGGUAGCUUAACUGCGAGACCGACAAGUCGAGCAGGUGCGAAAGCAGGACAUAGUGAUCCGGUGGUUCUGAAUGGAAGGGCCAUCGCUCAACGGAUAAAAGGUACUCCGGGGAUAACAGGCUGAUACCGCCCAAGAGUUCACAUCGACGGCGGUGUUUGGCACCUCGAUGUCGGCUCAUCACAUCCUGGGGCUGUAGCCGGUCCCAAGGGUAUGGCUGUUCGCCAUUUAAAGUGGUACGUGAGCUGGGUUCAAAACGUCGUGAGACAGUUUGGUCCCUAUCUGCAGUGGGCGUUGGAAGUUUGACGGGGGCUGCUCCUAGUACGAGAGGACCGGAGUGGACGCACCUCUGGUGUACCGGUUGUGACGCCAGUCGCAUUGCCGGGUAGCUAAGUGCGGAAGAGAUAACCGCUGAAAGCAUCUAAGCGGGAAACUUGCCUGAAGAUGAGACUUCCCUGGAGGCUUGACCUCCCUGAAGAGUCGUUCGAGACCAGGACGUUGAUAGGUCGGGUGUGGAAGCGCUGUGAGGCGUGAAGCUAACCGAUACUAAUUGCUCGUGAGGCUUGAUCCU